UCCAGGAGGAAGGGACUGUUAGCAGCAUAGGAUUGAGGAGUUGGAAGAGACCUUUAGAAUAGCUGGUCGUUAUGCCAAUCAGGUGUUUGCACUAAGUUUGUCAUCAAUAUGGUAACCUUCUGGGAGCAGGGGGCCACCAGGUUGCCUAAGGACGAGUGAACUGGCCCAGGUCAGAAAGGGACCAGGUCAGAACUCCUGCACCAACCGGUAGUGGGACUGUGCCUGGGCAAUAUAGCAAGAUCUUGGUUCUUAAAA
ensembl:misc_RNA Metazoa_SRP Metazoan signal recognition particle RNA